rnacentral:rRNA from 1 species
AUUGAACGCUGGCGGCAUGCCUUACACACGCAAGUCGAACGGCAGCGGGGACUUCGGUCCGCCGGCGAGUGGCGAACGGGUGAGUAAUGCAUCGGAACGUACCCGGAAGUGGGGGAUAACGUAGCGAAAGUUACGCUAAUACCGCAUAUUCUGUGAGCAGGAAAGAGGGGGAUCUUCGGACCUCUUGCUUUCGGAGCGGCCGAUGUCAGAUUAGCUAGUUGGUGAGGUAAAGGCUCACCAAGGCGACGAUCUGUAGCGGGUCUGAGAGGAUGAUCCGCCACACUGGAACUGAGACACGGUCCAGACUCCUACGGGAGGCAGCAGUGGGGAAUUUUGGACAGUGGGCGCAAGCCUGAUCCAGCCAUGCCGCGUGAGUGAAGAAGGCCUUCGGGUUGUAAAGCUCUUUCGGCCGGGAAGAAAUCGCAUGGAUUAAUACUCUGUGCGGAUGACGGUACCGGCAUAAGAAGCACCGGCUAACUACGUGCCAGCAGCCGCAGUAA